rnacentral:rRNA from 1 species
CCUACGGGUGGCAGCAGUGGGGAAUAUUGCGCAAUGGGCGAAAGCCUGACGCAGCGACGCCGCGUGAGGGAUGAAGGUCUUCGGAUCGUAAACCUCUGUCAGCAGGGAAGAACGGUCACUGUGCUAAUCAGCAGUGAAUUGACGGUACCUGCAAAGGAAGCACCGGCUAACUCCGUGCCAGCAGCCGCGGUAAUACGGAGGGUGCGAGCGUUAAUCGGAAUUACUGGGCGUAAAGCGCUCGUAGGCGGUAUGUCAAGUCAAGGGUGAAAUCCCCGCGCUCAACGUGGGAACUGCCUUUGAAACCGGCAAAAUGGAGGGUGUGAGAGGAGAGUGGAAGUUCAGGGGGAGGAGUGAAAUCCGGAGAUAACUGGGGGAA